UGGAUAUUAGUUAAAAAAUAACAAUUAAAUUGCAUUUAAAAAUUAAUUUAAAUUAAUUAUAUCU
rnacentral:tRNA from 1 species